AACGUAGGACGCAAGCGUUAUCCGGAAUUACUGGGCGUAAAGCGCGUGUAGGUGGUUUUAUAAGUCACUGUUGAAAGCUCCCGGCUAAACUGGGAGAGGUGCGGUGAGACUGUAGAGCUAGAGUUUGGGAGAGGGGUGCGGAAUUCCGGGUGUAGCGGUGGAAUGCGUAGAGAUCCGGAAGAACACCGGUGGCGAAGGCGGCCUGCUGGGCAGUGGCUGACGCUGAGGCGCGACAGCGUGGGGAGCAAACAGG
rnacentral:rRNA from 1 species